AUUGAACGCUGGCGGCAGGCCUAACACAUGCCAGUCGAGCGGAUGAAGGGAGCUUGCUCCUGGAUUCAGCGGCGGACGGGUGAGUAAUGCCUAGGAAUCUGCCUGGUAGUGGGGGAUAACGUCCGGAAACGGGCGCUAAAACCGCAUACGUCCUGAGGGAGAAAGUGGGGGAUCUUCGGACCUCACGCUAUCAGAUGAGCCUAGGUCGGAUUAGCUAGUUGGUGGGGUAAAGGCCUACCAAGGCGACGAUCCGUAACUGGUCUGAGAGGAUGAUCAGUCACACUGGAACUGAGACACGGUCCAGACUCCUACGGGAGGCAGCAGUGGGGAAUAUUGGACAAUGGGCGAAAGCCUGAUCCAGCCAUGCCGCGUGUGUGAAGAAGGUCUUCGGAUUGUAAAGCACUUUAAGUUGGGAGGAAGGGCAGUAAGUUAAUACCUUGCUGUUUUGACGUUACCAACAGAAUAAGCACCGGCUAACUUCGUG
rnacentral:rRNA from 1 species